rnacentral:rRNA from 1 species
UACGUAGGGUGCGAGCGUUAAUCGGAAUUACUGGGCGUAAAGCGUGCGUAGCCGGUUAUUUAAGUCGGAUGUGAAAGCCCCGGGCUCAACCUGGGAAUUGCAUUCGAGACUGAAUAGCUAGGGUACGGUAGAGGGAAGCGGAAUUUCCGGUGUAGCGGUGAAAUGCGUAGAUAUCGGAAGGAACAUCAGUGGCGAAAGCGGCUUCCUGGACCAGUACCGACGUUCAGGCACGAAAGCGUGGGGAGCAAACAGG